AGUGAACGCUGGCGGUAGGCCUAACACAUGCAAGUCGAACGGCAGCACAGUAAGAGCUUGCUCUUACGGGUGGCGAGUGGCGGACGGGUGAGGAAUACAUCGGAAUCUACUUUUUCGUGGGGGAUAACGUAGGGAAACUUACGCUAAUACCGCAUACGACCUACGGGUGAAAGCAGGGGAUCUUCGGACCUUGCGCGAUUGAAUGAGCCGAUGUCGGAUUAGCUAGUUGGCGGGGUAAAGGCUCACCAAGGCGACGAUCCGUAGCUGGUCUGAGAGGAUGAUCAGCCACACUGGAACUGAGACACGGUCCAGACUCCUACGGGAGGCAGCAGUGGGGAAUAUUGGACAAUGGGCGCAAGCCUGAUCCAGCCAUACCGCGUGGGUGAAGAAGGCCUUCGGGUUGUAAAGCCCUUUUGUUGGGAAAGAAAAGCAGCAGGUUAAUACCCCGCUGUUCUGACGGUACCCAAAGAAUAAGCACCGGCUAACUUCGCG
rnacentral:rRNA from 1 species